AAUAGGAGAAUGGCAAAUCAGAUUUUUGCACUUAAUUUUCAGUUUUUUUAUUCUGAAAAAAUCAAAUCCAACUAAAAAUGUUAAAAAUCAGGAAGAAAAUUUUGAUUUUUCAUUCUUCUAUU
rnacentral:pre_miRNA from 1 species